rnacentral:rRNA from 1 species
GACGAACGCUGGCGGCGUGCUUAACACAUGCGAGUCGAACGGAAAGGCCCUGCUUUUGUGGGGUGCUCGAGUGGCGAACGGGUGAGUAACACGUGAGUAACCUGCCCUUGACUUUGGGAUAACUUCAGGAAACUGGGGCUAAUACCGGAUAGGAGCUCCUGCUGCAUGGUGGGGGUUGGAAAGUUUCGGCGGUUGGGGAUGGACUCGCGGCUUAUCAGCUUGUUGGUGGGGUAGUGGCUUACCAAGGCUUUGACGGGUAGCCGGCCUGAGAGGGUGACCGGCCAAAUGGGGGCUGAGAUACGGCCCGGACCCCGACGGGGGGCAGGGGGGGGGAAUAUUGCACAAGGGGGGGAAGCCUGAUGGAGCAACGCCGCGUGGGGGAUGACGGCCUUCGGGUUGUAAACCGCUUUCGCCUGUGACGAAGGGUGGGUGACGGUAAUGGGUAAAGAAGCACCGGCUAACUACGG